rnacentral:rRNA from 1 species
CCUACGGGAGGCUGCAGUGGGGAAUAUUGGGCAAUGGGCGCAAGCCUGACCCAGUAACGCCGCGUGAAGGAAGAAGGCUUUCGGGUUGUAAACUUCUAUCAAGAGGGAAGAGACGAAGACGGUACCUCUUGAAUAAGCCACGGCUAACUACGUGCCAGCAGACGCGGUAAAAAGUAGGUGGCACGCGUUGUCCGGAUUUACUGGGGGUAAAGGGCGUGCAGCCGGGAAUACAAGUAAGAUGUGAAAUCCCGCGGGUCAACCGCGGACCUGCCUUUGAAACUGUUGUUCUUGAGUACCGGAGAGGUCAGCGGAAUUCCUUGUGUAGCGGUGAAAUGCGUAGAUAUAAGGAAGAACACCAGUGGCGAAGGCAGAUGACUGGACGGCAACUGACGGUGAGGCGCGAAAGCGUGGGGAGCAAACAGGAUUAGAUACCCGUGUAGUC